AUCCUCUUGCAGCUGGAGUUCUGCAGGAAAAGGGGAUUUGCCAGCCCUAGAUCCACCACGGUUGCUUGGCAGUCAGGAAAACCUGGUAUUCCAGCAGAUGGAGUCUGAGCAGGGUGAUGUGUUUGGCUGAUGUGGGGAUGGUGAUUCCUGUCUUCAGGAAUGCCAGGGAAAACCCAGACAGACAAUCUUGGAAGCCAGACAAGAAAAGAGGAAGCAAAAAAACCCUGUAAUCCGCAGAAAAUUCAGAAGAGUUUCAGUUCUCAGACAGCAGCAAAGAGGCAUCAUCCUUAUUUUGUGGGGGAAUUUUGAGCUUGUCUUCUUGCAACUCUACUCUCAGGCUGAGAAAUCCUGGAUAACAUCAGAUAAUACUCCCAGGGCCGCUUGCCAGGAAAACAGCGAUCCCAAAAGGUAACUCCGACCUGAUUAAUGGGUAUUCAUCUCCCCAAAGGCACAAUGGCAGCUGGAGAACGACAUUAACCUCCUCAGAUAACAUCGGGGUGAGGCACCACAGAGGCUCCGUGCCUCAUUCACACCCUGCUGCACAGGUGACCCCUGCAGUUUUCAUCCUAAACAGCUUGGAAAAAAUUGAACUGAACAAAACCCCCGUGCUCUGAGAAACGAGAGAAGGAAGAGCUUGUAAAAUCACACAGUGACAUGCUCUGAGGGAAAAGAGUCAAAGGCAAACCUGCUAAAAAAAAAAAAAAAAAGGGGGAUCUCAGGGUAGUCAUAAAAAAAAGAAUUUCCAUGUCAUUUUUUCCUCAGCAGAAAGCUGAGUUGUCACUUCCCAAUCCCAUGGGGAAUGGCAGCUGGGUUAUUGGCAGGCAGCUCCCUUCCUCCCCGUGCUCACCGCUGCUCCCGGCUGUGGUCACACUGGAGUCACUCCGUGGUUUCCUCUCGGAGCAGAAAUGGCUUUCCAUGCAAAACAAACGCCUUGACACGAAGGGCGAUUUGGGGCAGGGUGGUUUGGAAUGCAAACACGGAGUCCGGGGGGAAUCUCAGCAGGGCUGAGAUCAGCUGUGUUAUGACAGAAAGCUGAAGUUUGCCUGACCUUGUUUUCUGCGGGGAAGGAGCAAGAGGGACACAAAUCAAACUGCUUUCCCCCCGCCCUCCUCUCUGAUCCAGCCCAAAAUUAUUUAUCUCCAUUGCAAAUUCUUCAUCCAGCUCAGCCACACUCUAAGGUUUUUCUCCACCCAAUUUUUUUGGGAAUGGGGGUCCAAUAACUCAGCCAUUCCCUGACCUCAUUACCCUGAGGGAAGGGAUAACUUUUGUUGGGAGCAGCUCCAUCCAGCCACAGGCAGGGUGCGUGGGCACAGCUUCUCUACGCCCCAGCUUGCUCCUGGUGCCAGUGAGGGUCUCCAGGAAGGCACGGAGGAAAACUUGGAACAUGCGGAGGAAUUUUCAGGAUGUGGCUGAUCCGGCAGGAGCAGACGGCAGGUGGCACCCCUGGAUUGUCACAGGGCUGGGCACUGCCUGCAGCUGGGCUCCGUCUUCCUCUCCUUCCUCCCUGAGGAG